rnacentral:lncRNA from 1 species
AGUUUGAGUCAGACAUCCAACAACAACUGAGCAAAAGAAUCAUCUCAGAUCCAAGCAAUGGUGACGCGCAGAUAGAAGAGACUGAGGCCAACGACCAAAGCAAAGGACAGCAGAACUGACUGACACAGCUCAGAAAAUAUCCAAAGCUCUGGUCUUGCUCUGUCACCCACACUGGAGUGCAAUGCCACCAUCUUGGCUCACUGCAGCCUUGACCUCCUUGGGCUCAAGUGAUCCUCCUGCUUCAGCCUACCAUGUAGCUGGGACUACAGGUGUGCACCACCACACCAGCUAAUUUUUUUUUUUUUUGAGACAGAAUCUUGCUCUGUCACCCAGGCUACAGUGCGGUGGUGCGAUCUCGGCUCACUGCAAGCUCUGCCUCCCAGGUUCAAGCAAUUCUUCUGCCUCAGCCUCCCAAGUAGCUGGGACUACAGGAACCCACCACCAUGCCCAGCUAAUUUUUGUAUUUUUAGUAGAGACGGGGUUUCACCAUAUUGGCCAGGCUGGUCUUGAACUCCUGACCUCAUGAUCCGCCCGCCUCCGCCUCCCAAAGUGCUGGGAUUACAGGUGUAAGCCACCGUGCCCGAGCCCACACCAGCUAAUUUUUAACUGGGCUCAAGUGAUCCUCCCAUCUCAGCCUCACAAAGUGCUGGAAUUCCAGGCAUGAGCCACCGCACCCAGGAUGAAGCACAGAUUCUUGAACUGGUUUGUCACGGCAGUUGGUGCUGAUCACUCCAAUGAAUACAGCUUGCCUGUGCCAUGAUCUCAAUCUGGGGGCACCAGUUAA